CGGACUGUAGUCUGCAACUCGACUACACGAAGCCGGAAUCGCUAGUAAUCGCGAAUCAGAAUGUCGCGGUGAAUACGUUCCCGGGUCUUGUACACACCGCCCGUCACACCAUGGGAGUCGGAAAUGCCCGAAGUCAGUGACCUAACCGAAAGGGAGGAGCCGCCGAAGGUGGAGCCGGUAACUGGGGUGAAGUCGUAACAAGGUAGC
rnacentral:rRNA from 1 species